rnacentral:rRNA from 1 species
UACGUAGGGUGCGAGCGUUGUCCGGAUUUAUUGGGCGUAAAGAGCUCGUAGGCGGUUUGUCGCGUCGGCCGUGAAAUCUCCACGCUUAACGUGGAGCGUGCGGUCGAUACGGGCAGACUUGAGUUCGGUAGGGGAGACUGGAAUUCCUGGUGUAGCGGUGAAAUGCGCAGAUAUCAGGAGAACACCGUGGCGAAGGCGGGCUCUGGC